AGACCAUGAUGAGGACAACGUCUAACUAGGUUCUUAUAUCUCUCUUAGGCUUCGUACAACAACACACCAUCAAGUUGUGUAAAAUUAGUAAUAUCGUUCCUCAUCAU
rnacentral:snoRNA from 1 species